CCCUUAGAUGUUCUGGGCUGCACGCGCGCUACACUGAUGCACUCAACGAGUUUACGACCUUGCCCGAUAGGGUUGGGUAAUCUUUUUAAAAUGCAUCGUGAUGGGGAUAGAUUAUUGCAAUUAUUAAUCUUCAACGAGGAAUUCCUAGUAAGCGCGAGUCAUCAGCUCGUGCUGAUUACGUCCCUGCCCUUUGUACACACCGCCCGUCGCUCCUACCGAUUGAGUGCUCAGGUGAAUAAUUCGGACUGCAGCAAUGUUUGGAUCCCGAACGUUGCAGCGGAAAGUUUAGUGAACCUUAUCACUUAGAGGAAGGAGAAGUCGUACC
rnacentral:rRNA from 1 species